UACGGAGGGUGCAAGCGUUAUCCGGAUUUACUGGGUUUAAAGGGUGCGUAGGUGGGUCUGUAAGUCAGUUGUGAAAUCUCCGGGCUUAACUCGGAAAGGUCAACUGAUACUGUGCGACUAGAGUGCAGAAGGGGCAACUGGAAUUCUCGGUGUAGCGGUGAAAUGCGUAGAUAUCGAGAGGAACACCUGCGGCGAAGGCGGGUUGCUGGGCUGACACUGACGCUGAUGCGCGAAAGCCAGGGGAGCGAACGGG
rnacentral:rRNA from 1 species